AAAGCCACAUGCUUUUAUUGGAGUGGGGACCCUUGCAGCUUUGGUAGAAGAGGACCACGGGGCUUUGGGGUGCCCCCUUUGGCCACGUGGCCUG